GCUGGCGUAGCUUAACUAAAGCAUAACGCUGAAGACGUUAAGAUGAACCCUAGAAAGUUCCGCAAGCA
rnacentral:tRNA from 1 species